rnacentral:rRNA from 1 species
UACGGAGGGGGCUAGCGUUUGUUCGGAAUUACUGGGCGUAAAGCGCACGUAGGCGGCUUUGUAAGUUAGAGGUGAAAGCCCGGGGCUCAACUCCGGAAUUGCCUUUAAGACUGCAUCGCUAGAAUUGUGGAGAGGUGAGUGGAAUUCCGAGUGUAGAGGUGAAAUUUGUAGAUAUUCGGAAGAACACCAGUGGCGAAGGCGACUCACUGGACACAUAUUGACGCUGAGGUGCGAAAGCGUGGGGAGCAAACAGG